CCUACGGGAGGCAGCAGUGAGGAAUAUUGGUCAAUGGCCGUAAGGCUGAACCAGCCAAGUCGCGUGAAGGAAGAAUGAUCUAUGGUUUGUAAACUUCUUUUAUAGGGGAAUAAAGGUAUCCACGUGUGGAUAUUUGCAUGUACCCUAUGAAUAAGCAUCGGCUAACUCCGUGCCAGCAGCCGCGGUAUUACGGAGGAUCGGAGCGUUAUCCGGAUUUAUUGGGUUUAAAGGGGGCGUAGGUUGGUUUUUAAGUCAGCGGUGAAAGUUUGUGGCUCAACCAUAAAAUUGCAGUUGAUACUGGCAGACUUGAGUGUAGUUGAGGUAGGCGGAAUGCGUGGUGUAGCGGUGAAAUGCAUAGAUAUCACGCAGAACUCCGAUUGCGAAGGCAGCUUACUAAGCCACAACUGACACUGAAGCACGAAAGCGUGGGGAUCAAACAGGAUUAGAUACCCUGGUAGUC
rnacentral:rRNA from 1 species